rnacentral:rRNA from 1 species
AUUGAACGCUGGCGGCAGGCCUAACACAUGCAAGUCGAACGGCAGCACGGACUUCGGUCUGGUGGCGAGUGGCGAACGGGUGAGUAAUAUAUCGGAACGUAUCCAAUAAUGGGGGAUAACUAAUCGAAAGGUUGGCUAAUACCGCAUACGUCCUACGGGAGAAAGCUAGGGACCUUCGGGCCUGGCGUUAAUGGAGUGGCCGAUAUCGGAUUAGCUAGUUGGUGAGGUAAAGGCUCACCAAGGCGACGAUCCGUAGCUGGUCUGAGAGGACGACCAGCCACACUGGAACUGAGACACGGUCCAGACUCCUACGGGAGGCAGCAGUGGGGAAUUUUGGACAAUGGGCGAAAGCCUGAUCCAGCCAUUCCGCGUGAGUGAAGAAGGCCUUCGGGUUGUAAAGCUCUUUCGCAAGAGAAGAAAACUUACCCUCUAACAUAGGGUGAGGUUGACGGUAUCUUGAUAAGAAGCACCGGCUAACUACGUGCCAGCCGCCGCGGUAA